rnacentral:rRNA from 1 species
GGAAUCUUGGACAAUGGGCGCAAGCCUGAUCCAGCCAUGCCGCGUGGGUGAUGAAGGCCCUAGGGUUGUAAAGCCCUUUCGGCGGGGAAGAUAAUGACGGUACCCGCAGAAGAAGCCCCGGCUAACUUCGUGCCAGCAGCCGCGGGAAUACGAAGGGGGCGAGCGUUGCUCGGAAUCACUGGGCGUAAAGCGCACGUAGGCGGCUCUUUAAGUCAGGGGUGAAAUCCUGGAGCUCAACUCCAGAACUGCCUUUGAUACUGGGGAGCUCGAGUCCGGGAGAGGUGAGUGGAACUGCGAGUGUAGAGGUGGAAUUCGUAGAUAUUCGCAAGAACACCAGUGGGGAAGGCGGCUCACUGGCCCGGUACUGACGCUGAGGUGCGAAAGCGUGGGGAGCAA